UACGUAGGGUGCAAGCGUUAAUCGGAAUUACUGGGCGUAAAGCGUGCGCAGGCGGCUUCGCAAGUCAGGCGUGAAAUCCCCGAGCUCAACUUGGGAAUGGCGCUUGAAACUGCGAGGCUAGAGUGUGGCAGAGGGAGGUAGAAUUCCACGUGUAGCAGUGAAAUGCGUAGAUAUGUGGAGGAAUACCGAUGGCGAAGGCAGCCUCCUGGGCCAACACUGACGCUCAUGCACGAAAGCGUGGGGAGCAAACAGGAUUAGAUACCCUGGUAGUCCACGCCCUAAACUAUGUCAACUAGUUGUUGGGGGAGUUAAAUCCCUUAGUAACGAAGCUAACGCGUGAAGUUGACCGCCUGGGGAGUACGGUCGCAAGAUUA
rnacentral:rRNA from 1 species